CAGGAACACUAGCGCGUAUGGACAGGGGAAGAGGACUGGAGACAAAUGGAGAAAAAGAUGACCAUGUUGCCUGUUCAUACAAGGUGCCCCAUGACCUGCGCUCCUGCUCUCCGCCGAUCAGUCCAAUCCACGCCUAAAGGGCUCCAAAACAGCAGCCUGCAAGACCCAGCAAUGCUCUGCCUCCUCUCACACCUCCUGUAUGGCUCCCUGUCCCAGGACGACUGUACUUCUGCCUGUACCGAACCCUCUGCACUGACUGUUKAUGAGCCCCCUCAGCCUGCUUCUACACUCGCCAGUCUCCAGGGAAUAGGCUCUCCCUCGGCGCUGCCCCGUUUAAUGGUGACAGACUAGCAGUCUGUCAAGAUGCCACUUUCUACCAUAGUCCCCAGCACAGGAAGUGGAAGAUAAUUGAAGCUGCUUUAGUGCCACCAUUCCACUCUUCUCUUUUUCCCAUGCAAUGCUGUCAUCAUCCACCACCUCUUGUCUGCAAUGUCCCAUGGCACCCAGGCUAAGCAAUUUAUUAUGAGGCAAAAUCUUUCUCAGMUAUGCUAUCUCCAAGUUUUGGUGCCAGGAAGCCCCUGGAGAAAUCUUACUGUGGUUUAAAAAAAUUAAACAAACAUAAAACCCCARACAAACCCCYAGCCAUCYUCUUAUGCCAGCAAAAAGAGCAAGAACAACCGCAGGGCCCUGGAGAGCACUGUURGCUGGGCUUGCAGUUCAUGCCAGCRGCAACGAGAUGAACCCAAYGCCUMGAGAAUCUCCCGGCUGUUUGGGUGCCUCCAAACGGGAUGUCAGAAACAGAAGAGCGUGGUGGCCCGCGUUGCUGAGGUCAGCCACUGUGCUUUGCCAGUCAUUUGAUAACGAGUGGAGCAUCCUCAAUUAUAUUACCGUGUGAGUGAAUCUACCGUUACGUGCCCAGCGCUGAGAAGCUUUUUCCUAAACAUGAACUGCAUUCUCCAAAUUUCUACCCUUUGGGGUUUUUAAUUGGAUUUAUGUUUCUCCUCUUCUUUCUCCCAAAAGGCUCAUAGCUGGAAGAUGUAUUUAGAGUGUGAACAUAACAGGACCUGAAACAGAACCUCAGAUAAUUAAAUGUAAUGGGCUCUCUCAUUAAUGGAGGGGAGCUGCUGGUUUCCGUCAGUUAGUACGGGAGAACACUGUGUGCAGUAUUUGACACACUGAGGAAUGCACAGCGCUGUUUGUGUUUAUUGCUCCCAGGUGCUCUGCAACUGAACCAGGACUGUGUAACCAGCUUUACUGAACAGAUGUUAUGGUUUUGUUGCUCUUUGGAGGUGCUUUUUAGUGGUGCUAGAACCAAAGUCCCUGUGUAUCUACCAUAGCCCAAAAUCUGUGGGCAGGUUGGAUUUUAAUACAUCAGUGCAAGCCAGUCGCAGGGACUAAGAGAAAUACUUGAUCCAUUAGACCGUGCCUUCUUUUGUUUCACUUUCUCUUYCUGUGUCCUUCCUCCUUCCUUCCUAUGGUGCAAGAAUCAGAAACUUUUAUGAGCAUACCCCUUCUUUUCUUCUUUUCUUUUCUUUUUCUUUUUUUUUUUUUUUAAGGUGUGUUACAGUUCCAAAGGGAUUCAAAGCAGCAGGAAUGCUCCUGGAACUUAAUAGGAAAAUAAAAAGAUACUAGAAAAAAACUGUGAUUUAGCA
ensembl:lncRNA